UAGGAGAGACAUUGAGAUAUUCUCAGCCAUUGCUUUCUCAUUAUAAGCAACCAUUUGCAGUGUUUGAAGAAAGACCUGAAGAUCUGGUAUUUCUCAAAGCACACACUUGCUUCAAGAGAAGAGCGAUGCUGUUACUUCACACUAGUGACUAGCUGUGAAGAGUAGCCAGCUUAGGCGGUGCAAUGUGUACUUUGACAAAUACGUUCCUAAACCUGCCCUAACAGACCAGUAAAAUCUUCACAGGUUUUUUAA